GACGAACGCUGGCGGCGUGCUUAACACAUGCAAGUCGAACGGAAAGGCCCUGCUUUUGUGGGGUGCUCGAGUGGCGAACGGGUGAGUAACACGUGAGUAACCUGCCCUUGACUUUGGGAUAACUUCAGGAAACUGGGGCUAAUACCGGAUAGGAGCUCCUGCUGCAUGGUGGGGGUUGGAAAGUGUCGGCGGUUGGGGAUGGACUCGCGGCUUAUCAGCUUGUUGGUGGGGUAGUGGCUUACCAAGGCUUUGACGGGUAGCCGGCCUGAGAGGGUGACCGGCCACAUUGGGACUGAGAUACGGACCAGAAUCCUACGGGAGGCAGCAGUGGGGAAUAUUGCACAAUGGGCGGAAGCCUGAUGCAGCAACGCCGCGUGCGGGAUGACGGCCUUCGGGUUGUAAACCGAUUUCGCCUGUGACGAAGCGUGAGUGACGGUAAUGGGUAAAGAAGCACCGGCUAACUACGUG
rnacentral:rRNA from 1 species